AUUGAACGCUGGCGGCAGGCCUAACACAUGCAAGUCGAACGAGUGGCGGACGGGUGAGUAAUGUCUGGGAAACUGCCCGAUGGAGGGGGAUAACUACUGGAAACGGUAGCUAAUACCGCAUACCAUCGGAUGUGCCCAGCUGGGAUUAGCUAGUAGGUGGGGUAACGGCUCACCUAGGCGACGAUCCCUAGCUGGUCUGAGAGGAUGACCACCCACACUGGAACUGAGACACGGUCCAGACUCCUACGGGGGGCAGCAGGGGGGAAUAUUGCACAAUGGGCGAAAGCCUGAUGCAGCAAUGCCGCGUGUAUGAAGAAGGCCUUCGGGUUGUAAAGUACUUUCAGCGAGGAGGCGUUACUCGAAGAAGAAGCAACGGCUAACUACGUGCCAGCAGCCGCGGUAAUUC
rnacentral:rRNA from 1 species